ACUCAAAUGAAUUGACGGGGGCCCGCACAAGCGGUGGAGCAUGUGGUUUAAUUCGAUGCAACGCGAAGAACCUUACCAAGGUUUGACAUCUGGAGAACCCUGCUGAAAGGCGGGGGUGCCGCAAGGAACUCCAAGACAGGUGGUGCAUGGCUGUCGUCAGCUCGUGUCGUGAGAUGUUGGGUUAAGUCCCGCAACGAGCGCAACCCUCGAUGUCAGUUGCUAGCAGGUAAAGCUGAGCACUCUGGCGUGACUGCCGGUGACAAACCGGAGGAAGGUGGGGAUGACGUCAAGUCAUCAUGCCCCUUAUGCCUUGGGCUACACACGUGCUACAAUGGUCGGGACAAUAGGCAGCAAAACCGCGAGGUGGAGCCAAUCCUCAAACCCGGCCUCAGUUCAGAUUGCAGGCUGCAACUCGCCUGCAUGAAGGCGGAAUCGCUAGUAACCGCAGGUCAGCAUACUGCGGUGAAUACGUUCCCGGGCCUUGUACACACCGCCCGU
rnacentral:rRNA from 1 species